rnacentral:lncRNA from 1 species
UUUUCAGUUCAAUGCAUUCAUGCGCAAAGUAACUCGGCUUACCACAAUUGUAGCAGCACAUCUUGAUCUUGCCUUUUUUACCAUCGAGCUUGCUUCUCUUGCGCCGGUUAGCCUUGCCAAAGUAAGAUGCUCACCCUUUCUCCUUACCCAUUUUGGAGAAUUACCAACCUCUCUUGCGCUUGAAAUUGGAAGCCUUGUGUGAGUUAGAUUCAGCUAUAUAAGCUAGCCUGAAAGAUUUAGCUGCCUUGGGGAACUCAUCUUCUAGUUCCAAAUGAUGCACUAUUUCUUGAAAAGUCUUUAUAUUGUCAUUGUGCAUCAGCUCUUGAGUGGGGAUCUAAUCAUAGCUUGAACCUAUUACUCAUCAAGGAGGGUAUGGCCAGCUGCCUUCAACUCCAUUUUCAUAUUUGACAUCUUCCUAAGAUGUUGUCUUACGGUAUUAUUUGUGUGCUUUUUGUAGGAGCCAAACUUGAUAGUAAACCUCCUUAGCUUAGCAACUGAAGUACCCCGAAACUUUUCUUUCAGAACAAGCCAUUUUUUCUAAGUUGUGUCGUACUCCUCAAACUCACACAUGAGAUUAUCCAACAUACUGCUUAGCAACAUGAUGUAAGCAAUGUUGUUCUCUCUUCUAAGAAGCCUCAUGAUUCCUUUUAUGUUGAGCAGAAGUACCUUGCUCAGGCUCAGCCAUGGUAUGGUUGGUGUCUCCAAAACCUCUAGUUCCUCAAAGAUGUAUUGAACUUUUUGGUGCCAAAUAUCAUAAUUAUCACCGUUCAACUUAUCACCCUUGUUCAACUCAGCCGCAACAUUCUUAUUCAACUUAGCUACAUAGAGACAAUAUACACAAGAAAAACUAGCACAAACAAAAUAUCCAAUAUGUUACACACCCGCCCCCCCAUAUAUAU